GUAGGUGAACCUGCGGAAGGAUCAUUCAUAAUAAAAGUGUUUUAUGGCACUUUUAAAACAAUCCAUAUCCACCUUGUGUGCAAUGUUUUUUCAUUAUCAACUCUUUUAUUUUAAUUAUUUUGUCUGAAAUAUAUUAUGAAUAACUUAAUUCAAAAAUAUAACUUUCAACAACGGAUCUCUUGGCUCUC
rnacentral:misc_RNA from 1 species